rnacentral:rRNA from 1 species
UACGGAGGGUGCAAGCGUUAUCCGGAUUCACUGGGUUUAAAGGGUGCGUAGGCGGGUUGGUAAGUCCGUGGUGAAGUCUCCAAGCUUAACUUGGAAACUGCCGUGGAUACUAUCAAUCUUGAAUAUAGUGGAGGUGAGCGGAAUGUGUCAUGUAGCGGUGAAAUGCUUAGAUAUGACACAGAACACCCAUUGCGAAGGCAGCAUACAAAACUACAACUGACACUGAGGCACGAAAGCUAGGGGAGCAAACAGG